CGCCGCGGUAAUUCCAGCUCCAAUAGCGUAUAUUAAAGUUGUUGCAGUUAAAAAGCUCGUAGUUGAAUUUCGGGAUCAAUAUGUUGGUCGUGCCUUUGGUACGUACUAGCUUAUUGAUUUCUCCCUUCUGACGAACCAUGAUGUCAUUAAUUUGGUGUCAUGGGGAAUCAGGACUGUUACUUUGAAAAAAUUAGAGUGUUUAAAGCAGGCUUACGCUUGAAUAUAUUAGCAUGGAAUAAUGAAAUAGGACGUUUUGAUUCUAUUUUGUUGGUUUCUAGGAUCGACGUAAUGAUUAAUAGGGAUAGUUGGGGGCAUUAGUAUUCAAUUGUCAGAGGUGAAAUUCUUGGAUUUAUUGAAGACUAACUACUGCGAAAGCAGUUGCCAAGGAUGUUUUCAUUAAUCAAGAACGAAAGUUAGGGGAUCGAAGACGAUCAGAUACCGUCGUAGUCUUAACCAUAAACUAUGCCGACUAGGGAUCGGAUGAUGUUAAUUUUUUAAUGACUCAUUCGGCGCCUUACG
rnacentral:misc_RNA from 1 species